rnacentral:rRNA from 1 species
AACGCGAAGAACCUUACCUGGCCUUGACAUAGUAGAGACUUUCCAGAGAUGGAUUGGUGCCUUCGGGAAUCUACAUACAGGUGCUGCAUGGCUGUCGUCAGCUCGUGUCGUGAGAUGUUGGGUUAAGUCCCGCAACGAGCGCAACCCUUUUCCUUACUUGCCAGCAUUUCGGAUGGGAACUUUAAGGAUACUGCCAGUGACAAACUGGAGGAAGGCGGGGACGACGUCAAGUCAUCAUGGCCCUUACGGCCAGGGCUACACACGUGCUACAAUGGUCGGUACAAAGGGUUGCUACACAGCGAUGUGAUGCUAAUCUCAAAAAGCCGAUCGUAGUCCGGAUCGCAGUCUGCAACUCGACUGCGUGAAGUCGGAAUCGCUAGUAAUCGCGGAUCAGAAUGCCGCGGUGAAUACGUUCCCGGGCCUUGUACACACCGCCCGUCACACCAUGGGAGUUUGUUGCACCAGAAGUAGGUAGUCUAACCGCAAGGAGGACGCUUACCACGGUGUGGCCGAUGACUGGGGUGAAGUCGUAACAAGGUA